rnacentral:misc_RNA from 1 species
GAUGAAGAACGCAGCGAAAUGCGAUAAGUAAUGUGAAUUGCAGAAUUCAGUGAAUCAUCGAAUCUUUGAACGUACAUUGCGCCCAUUAGUAUUCUAGUGGGCAUGCCUGUUCGAGCGUCAUUAAGUCCACUUAAGCCCUGCUUAGUGUUGGGAGACUGCUCCAGCGGUGCUACCCUGUAGCUACCCUGCAGCUCCUCAAAGACAGCGGCGGAGUUGUGGUAUCCUCUGAGCUUAGUAACUUGUUCUAGCUUUCGAGUACACCACUUCCCCUGCCGUAAAACCCUUAAUUUUUAAUGGUUGACCUCGGAUCAGGUAGGAAUACCCGCUGAACUUAAGCAUAUCAAUAAGCGGAGGA